rnacentral:rRNA from 1 species
CGCUGGCGGCGUGCCUAACACAUGCAAGUCGAGCGGUAACAGGUGUAGCAAUACAUGCUGACGAGCGGCGAACGGGUGAGCAAUGCUUCGGAGUCUACCCAAUGGUGUGGAAUAACCAGCCGAAAGGUUGGCUAAUACCGCAUAAGCCCUACGGGGGAAAGCAGGGGAUCGCAAGACCUUGCGCCGAUGGAUGAGCCGAAGUCGGAUUAGCUAGUUGGUAGGGUAACGGCCUACCAAGGCGACGAUCCGUAGCUGGUCUGAGAGGACGACCAGCCACACUGGGACUGAGACACGGCCCAGACUCCUACGGGAGGCAGCAGUGGGGAAUAUUGGACAAUGGGGGCAACCCUGAUCCAGCGACGCCGCGUGUGUGAAGAAGGCCUGCGGGUUGUAAAGCACUUUUAGUGGGGAUGAAAAGCUCAGGGAUAACACCUCUGGGUCUUGACCUAACCCACAGAAAAAGCACCGGCUAACUCUGUGCCAGCAGCCGCGGUAAUACAGAGGGUGCAAGCGUUAAUCGGAAUUACUGGGCGUAAAGCGUGCGUAGACGGUAGCGUAAGUCGGGUGUGAAAGCCCGGGGCUCAACCUG